ACCCAGCCACCCUGAAUCAGUCUCAGGCUCUCAGCCACUCCCGUGCGUGCUGCUGGAUAGGGUUUGCCGCCGCCCUCACUGGUCGCCGCCGCCACCCUCACUGGUCGCCGCCGCCGCCCUCACCGGUCGCCGCCGCCGUCGGUUUCCCCUACAUGGCCAGUGGAUAGGCCAUCCCGCCGGUCCAUUCCCGCCCCACCCCCAUCCCGCGCGUGGAAUCCCCUUUGACUCCCAGCCGCCCCUGCCGACGCCCAUUAGCCACGCCUGUCGGCGGGCCGCCUCGCAUCGCCCGAUCCGCCGCCCAUCCCGCCUCCUCACCCAGGUCUCCUACCCAGGAGGAGGACUAGGAGGAGCAGGAGGAGGGGAGGCCUGCUGGGCGCGCGCAGGAGGCUCCCCGCCGGUCCCCGAAGCCUAAACUGCAAGAUCCACCCACGCCCUCUCCAUUGCCACUCCACCGGUCGCGUAGAGAAGAUCGAGAAACGCAGCCUAACGCCGGUGUCGAGCUGAUUCCGGGGAUGAUUCCACUCAAACGUAAUGAACAUAUAUGAACAGGCAAUCUGGUCAUACCUUUGUAGUUCUAUUUGGAAGACAGUUAGAGAACAUUAGCUACCAACAAUAGCACUAUUUUUUGUCCGGCGAGGACAUCGACAUGCAGCCUGCUACGGACUCCACCACCAAUCAUCCUCAUGUAGUGGCGUGAGGUGCCCAUGUGUCAAGAUGGUGGUGCAACGGCUGGCAACAGCGUGUCUGGAUGCCAUGGGCAGAUGGGUGACAGUGAUAUACGUCCUACAUAGAUGACUUAUGUACGUGUCCGACCUGCCCUCUUUUACUUUUUCUUAGCAUGAGGUCUGGACAACUGCUUAUGUGUGUACGUGAUCAUGACUCUUUUUGACGGGCUAUUUCUAAUUCUUUCUAUUUUAAGGGAAUAUUUCUAAUUCUUUCUAUGUCCCAUUUUGUAGAUUUGCUUCAGAUCACGGAAGCUUGGGUUGAUGGAGUGCUUGUCUUUAGUUUUUGUUUUGACUUUGUGAAACUUGCUACCUAUGAUGAAACU